rnacentral:rRNA from 1 species
GUGGGGAAUCUUGCGCAAUGCGCGAAAGCGUGACGCAGCAACACCGCGUGAGGGAAGACGGCCUUAGGGUUGUAAACCUCUUUCAGAUGGGACGAAGGUUGUCCGGUGAAUAGCCGAGAUGAUUGACGGUACCGUCAGAAGAAGCUCCGGCUAACUACGUGCCAGCAGCCGCGGUAAUACGUAGGGAGCGAGCGUUGUCCGGAAUCAUUGGGCGUAAAGAGCACGUAGGUGGAUCAAUUAGUCUGCUGUGAAAGUCGAAGGCUCAACCUUCGAAAGCCGGUGGAUACUGUUGAUCUAGAGUACGGAAGAGGCGAGUGGAAUUCCUGGUGUAGCGGUGGAAUGCGCAGAUAUCAGGAGGAACACCAAUAGCGAAGGCAGCUCGCUGGGACGUAACUGACACUGAGGUGCGAAAGCGUGGGGAGCAAACAGGAUUAGAAACCCCUGUAGUCC